rnacentral:misc_RNA from 1 species
AACCUAGCACACCUGCGGUGUGUACCUGCGGAGGGAUCAUUACUGAGUGUAAAAACUCCCAAACCCAUUGUGAACAUACCACUGUUGCUUCGGCGGAUACGCCCCGGGCGCGCUCUUCACAGGGCGUGCCCCGGAACCAGGCGCCCGCCGGGGGACCGAAACUCUUGUUUUCUUAGGAUCUCUGAGUGUGAUUAUUAAAUAAAUCAAAACUUUUAACAACGGAUCUCAGAUCGGAAGAGC